CAUGCAAGUCGAGCGGCAGCGCGGGAGCAAUCCUGGCGGCGAGCGGCGGACGGGUGAGCAAUAUUUGGGAAUCUGCCUACUAGUGGGGGACAACCCGGGGAAACUCGGGCUAAUACCGCAUACGCACUACGGUGGAAAGCCGGGGACCGCAAGGCCUGGCGCUAGUAGAUGAGCCCAAAUCGGAUUAGCUAGUUGGUGAGGUAAUGGCUCACCAAGGCUACGAUCCGUAGCUGGUCUGAGAGGACGACCAGCCACACCGGAACUGAGACACGGUCCGGACUCCUACGGGAGGCAGCAGUGGGGAAUAUUGGACAAUGGGCGAAAGCCUGAUCCAGCGACGCCGCGUGGGUGAAGAAGGCCUGCGGGUUGUAAAGCCCUUUCAGUGGGGAAGAAAAGCCUCGACCUAACACGUCGGGGUCUUGACGUAACCCAUAGAAGAAGCACCGGCUAACUCUGUGCCAGCAGCCGCGGUAAUACAGAGGGUGCGAGCGUUAAUCGGAAUUACUGGGCGUAAAGCGCGCGUAGGCGGCUUUGCAAGUCGAGUGUGAAAUCCCCAGGCUUAACCUGGGAACUGCAUUCGAGACUGCAUAGCUAGAGUAUGGGAGAGGGAAGUGGAAUUUCAGGUGUAGCGGUGAAAUGCGUAGAUAUCUGAAGGAACAUCAGUGGCGAAAGCGACUUCCUGGACCAAUACUGACGCUCA
rnacentral:rRNA from 1 species